ACCAACAAAACCCUAACCUCUCUGCUUUCACCAAAUGUUCGAAACGGCGACGCGAUGACUCCUCACCACUCUCAGUCGCCGCCGACGCGAUAUGGGACACGAUGGGUAAGGUGGCGAAACGGUGGAUGAGUCGGCGAGCAACACCGUUUCGAUUUGGUCAAACCCUAGCUCUUUAUCUGCUCCAUCCUACUCCGAAACGACAACAACUAGCUGACAACUGCAUCCCACUCCAAAACGGUGAGGACACUACCACCUGGAUAACAUAACCUCCAUUCCAAAUCAUUAAUACAACAGACGCACCUAUUAAAUUUCUACAAACCCUGCCAAAAUCGGGAAAAUAACAUCCCUCGCCGGAACCGGGCGAAAAAGGUAACGCUCCAAACGGCCUCCGUGACUCUGUCGUCUCCUGCUGCGAAGGCUGAUUCGCCCCUUUGGCUUUUUAAUUUCCGGAUUGGCUAAUUCAAAACCCUCAUUGAACCCGCCGCCUAGCUCCUCCUUACACCCUCUGCCUUCUUCGCCAUCUCCAAGAUUCCAACAACAAGAAGAUGUUUUCAAAAACUUUUUGCCGCCACUGGCCAGGAAGCAUCAGAAUUUCGAGGGACUCAAUCUUCACAAUAUUUGAAAGAGCUUUUGGCAAUCUGCACAGGAUUUGAAAAAGCUUUUGAUAUUUGGAAUCAAGAUUUACUUUUUGGUUGGAGGUUUCUGACACCUAUAGAUGGAGAACUUUAUAGUAGGUUUUUAAUAACACUUGUGAUAUGCAUUGCCGAAUAAAAUUUUCAAAUAAUAGAUAUAAAUAAUAGAAACAAAAACCGAACAAAAUCAUAUAUUUCCAAAAAUAAAAAGUUCAUUAGUUCUGGGGACUAAAAACAAUUAUUUUCAAAAUCAGGUGCAAAACUUAGAAUUAAACACAUAAAAGAAGGAUCGCCAAUACCCAAAAUUCUGCAAACAAAAAUAAAUGGAUAAAUUUUAAAAAAAAUGUAUAAAACAUAAAAAAUCAUGUAAUAAAAAAUAACACCCAACUAAAAAUAAAAAAAAGAAUAAGCAAAUAAUUUAAUAACUAAAACAUGUACAAACAAAAUGUACAACCUGAUUACAUAAAUAUGAACUAGGCUAAACUAAAUAAAAGCACAUUAGGCCACAAAAAUAACAUGGCUCGAAUCCUGAAUUAAAACUCAGCCCAAAAGCAAAUAACAUAAGCCCAACUCUCAAAUAAAAUUAAAAACUAACAUAAGCCCAAUUCGUAAUGAAAGCUGAUUAACUAAUUAACUAAAUCACAUAAUAAAAAAAUUAACUAUAAUUAACAUCACUAAUUAAAGGUACAUAAACUUAUCUCCUUCCCAAGCACACCGCCACUCAACCACCGUUUCCAAACCCUAACCAACCAAAACCCAAUCCGAGCGCAGCCGGCGAUUACGAAGACAAAGUCUCCACCGCUUGAAUAAACGGCGACACCGAGUAAUCAUCAAGCUGCGGACUGCGGUUGUUCCAAUUUGUCACGACGGCAACAACGCAGCGACAAAAUACGCAACAAUACAAAAAAUACAGAUCGAAGGAAAUCCAACACCGUUUCGUCUAAAACAUCCAAGCCGACAUACAUCUUGAAAACCCUAACUCCGAUCGGCGGAAACUAUGUCCGGCGAAGGAAUCGGCCAAAACUGGUACAAACUUCACCCACAGAAGGUUUAAAUUCAGCAUAUAUACUAAAGAGCAGUAAUGAUGCUAUCUGCUUUGAGAAAGAGUUUGAAUGGUAUAUACAGACAUUUAACAUUUUUUAAGUUUCUUUAUAAGUAAGUUCUAAACAUUAUUAUUA